rnacentral:rRNA from 1 species
UACGUAGGGUGCGAGGCGUUGUUCGGAAUUACUGGGCGUAAAGGGCUCGUAGGCGGCCAACUAAGUCGGACGUGAAAUCCCUCGGCUCAAACCGGGGGAACUGCGUCCGAUACUGGAUGGCUUGAGUUCGGGAGAGGGAUGCGGAAUUCCAGGUGUGAGCGGUGAAAUGCGUAGAUAUCUGGAGGAACACCGGUGGCGAAGGCGGCAUCCUGGACCGACACUGACGCUGAGAGCGAAAGCCAGGGGAGCAAACGGG